GAUGAAGAACGCAGCGAAAUGCGAAAAGUAAUGUGAAUUGCAGAAUUCAGUGAAUCAUCGAAUCUUUGAACGCACAUUGCGCCCGCCAGUAUUCUGGCGGGCAUGCCUGUCUGAGCGUCAUUUCAACCCUCAUGCCCCUAGGGCGUGGUGUUGGGGAUCGGCCAGCGCCCGCGAGGGACGGCCGGCCCCUAAAUCUAGUGGCGGACCCGUCGUGGCCUCCCCUGCGAAGUAGUGAUAUUCCCAUAGGAGAGCGACGAGCCCCUGCCGUUAAACCCCCAACUUUCUAAGGUUGACCUCAGAUCAGGUAGGAAUACCCGCUGAACUUAAGCAUAUCAAUAAGCGGAGGA
rnacentral:misc_RNA from 1 species